CAGUAUCUGUGUCCAUCUGUCUGACUAAAAGUGCUUUCGUUCCUUCCAUGUGUCAUCCAGCAACACAAUGAUAAUGCUAGUGUUCAUUUUAUUUCAGUCAUUGUAUUAUUAUAUCAGCCAUCAGUCAGGCAUCAGGUUUUUGUAUCAGUCACUGUAAGUUCUUAUAAUGGUGUUGGUUUUUCAGAUGAAUAUAAUGCAUGUGUUAUAGGCUACUUUUGUCAAGAUGAGGAAGUUCUUGCUCUGCAGUGACAUUGUGUUCACAGAGCAGUUAGAUUAUAGUGUAAAGAACACAAGCAGCCAAUCAGCACUUCAGCCAAAACCACACAACUUUUCCGUUUUGGCAGUCGUCAUGUUUCCUGUUCUGAAUCGAAGCCCUUUGCUGUUCACAGAGUAUCAGAGUAUUACUUAGUUUUUCGCAGCAUAUCUAGCGUUGGAAUAUCAGAGUCUUUCAGUUGUCAGAAUUGAAGCCAUUUUGCUGUUUAAUGCGAUUCUGUGCCACUUCUGAAGCUCAGACAGCGCAACAUCAGCAGAGAUCUCAGAGUUGUGAUGGAGGUUUCUUCUCUUCAGCUCAACACAAGCUGGGAUGUAGAAAUGAGAUAACACAGAGAGAAAACUGCUGGAGCAUCAGAAACCAGAUAGGAAGAAACAACAGGACAGAGAGAAAAAUGGAGGCCAGAAAUGAGACACAAACCAGUGAAACACAAGAGAAAAACAGACUGACACUUGUCAGAUGUGACAGUAUGAAGAUAACAAAACCAGAAUUCUCACAUGAUCCAGACGGACCUGUAAACUUUCCUUCAGAUGAAACUUCAGCACGUUCUGAAGAACACACAACAUCCCUGAGACAGCAGCAGCGGCUGAAGACAACACCAUCCUGAUCCCAGACUCCAUCCAUCCACACUACAGUCUGCUCAGAUCCUCAGAGACCUGCAGACACUAUCAGCAGCAGGGGCUCAAGUGGAAACAGAGACACUUCUCUUGUUAUAAAACUAAUAAAAAAUAUUGAGAAAAAAGGCACUUCUCAUAUUUAUUUUAUUUUAUUCUAAAAAAAAAAAGGUUAAAUAUAUUAACACAACUCUAACUUAUUACCAAUUUAUUGUAAUUCCCUCACACUCACCCAGUUGUUUCACAUUGUUUCAUUUUUAAACAGAUGUCUACAAAUAAUCAGUUCACAUAGAGA